rnacentral:tRNA from 1 species
GGGCGGGUAGUUCAGUUGGUUAGAACGGUUGACUUACAUUCAACAGGUCACAGGUUCGAGUCCUGUCCCGCCCACCA